GGCUAAAGAAGGAAGUCCACGUUCCCAGGCUCCCAGCUCCCUUCUAGAUCAGCGAUCCCACAGCGUCUCCCUUCCGGAUUCGAGACCCCAUUUCCACAUCUUCUUCCGCCCGUUGAUCGCGAUCUCCAGCUUCAUCCCGUGCGAAAACAGGGGAGAAGAAAUGAUCCCGAGUGAUUUCCCAGCUUCUUCCAUCCUCCUCAUCCCACGCUGAAAUCAAGCUCCAUUCCGAAUCAGCCUCCCGUGAUCCAAGCUUCAUGCGGAUUCGACACGCCCUCCUCC
rnacentral:lncRNA from 1 species